AUUGAACGCUGGCGGCAGGCCUAACACAUGCAAGUCGAACGAGUGGCGGACGGGUGAGUAAUGUCUGGGAAACUGCCUGAUGGAGGGGGAUAACUACUGGAAACGGUAGCUAAUACCGCAUACCAUCAGAUGUGCCCAGAUGGGAUUAGCUAGUAGGUGGGGUAAGGGCUCACCGAGGCGCCGAUCCCUAGCUGGUCUGAGAGGAUGACCGGCCACACUGGAACUGAGACACGGUCCAGACUCCUACGGGAGGCAGCAGUGGGGAAUAUUGCACAAUGGGCGCAAGCCUGAUGCAGCCAUGCCGCGUGUGUGAAGAAGGCCUUCGGGUUGUAAAGCACUUUCAGCGAGGAGGCGUUACUCGCAGAAGAAGCACCGGCUAACUCCGUGCCAGCAGCCGCGGUAAUAC
rnacentral:rRNA from 1 species